ncrna:unclassified sequences malK-I RNA
UCGGUCGGACCCCGAGCACUCCACUGUAUGUGCGGGGAACGGCUGAAAAUAAAGGAGGAAACCAUCCCCUCGGCUUGGGGUGCGGCAGCGUGGAGACCUGUCGCAAUGCGCGGCCGACGUAUGCGCGGCGUGCGAGGCGGUUCGUUGAUGAAGAUCGGGACCGUUAAAGUCAAACGCAGUAUGGCA